CCUACGGGCGGCUGCAGUGGGGAAUAUUGCACAAUGGGCGCAAGCCUGAUGCAGCCAUGCCGCGUGUGUGAAGAAGGCCUUCGGGUUGUAAAGCACUUUCAGCGGGGAGGAAGGCGGUGAGGUUAAUAACCUCAUCGAUUGACGUUACCCGCAGAAGAAGCACCGGCUAACUCCGUGCCAGCAGCCGCGGUAAUACGGAGGGUGCAAGCGUUAAUCGGAAUUACUGGGCGUAAAGCGCACGCAGGCGGUCUGUCAAGUCGGAUGUGAAAUCCCCGGGCUCAACCUGGGAACUGCAUUCGAAACUGGCAGGCUAGAGUCUUGUAGAGGGGGGUAGAAGUCCAGGUGUAGCGGUGAAAUGCGUAGAGAUCUGGAGGAAUACCGGUGGCGAAGGCGGCCCCCUGGACAAAGACUGACGCUCAGGUGCGAAAGCGUGGGGAGCAAACAGGAUUAGAUACCCGUGUAGUC
rnacentral:rRNA from 1 species